rnacentral:rRNA from 1 species
UUUUCCAGGCAAAUCCGGAAAAUCAAGGCUGAGGCGUGAUGACGAGGCACUACGGUGCUGAAGCAACAAAUGCCCUGCUUCCAGGAAAAGCCUCUAAGCAUCAGGUAACAUCAAAUCGUACCCCAAACCGACACAGGUGGUCAGGUAGAGAAUACCAAGGCGCUUGAGAGAACUCGGGUGAAGGAACUAGGCAAAAUGGUGCCGUAACUUCGGGAGAAGGCACGCUGAUACGUAGGUGAAGUCCCUCGCGGAUGGAGCUGAAAUCAGUCGAAGAUACCAGCUGGCUGCAACUGUUUAUUAAAAACACAGCACUGUGCAAACACGAAAGUGGACGUAUACGGUGUGACGCCUGCCCGGUGCCGGAAGGUUAAUUGAUGGGGUUAGCGGUAACGCGAAGCUCUUGAUCGAAGCCCCGGUAAACGGCGGCCGUAACUAUAACGGUCCUAAGGUAGCGAAAUUCCUUGUCGGGUAAGUUCCGACCUGCACGAAUGGCGUAAUGAUGGCCAGGCUGUCUCCACCCGAGACUCAGUGAAAUUGAACUCGCUGUGAAGAUGCAGUGUACCCGCGGCAAGACGGAAAGACCCCGUGAACCUUUACUAUAGCUUGACACUGAACAUUGAGCCUUGAUGUGUAGGAUAGGUGGGAGGCUUUGAAGUGUGGACGCCAGUCUGCAUGGAGCCGACCUUGAAAUACCACCCUUUAAUGUUUGAUGUUCUAACGUUGGCCCCUAAUCGGGGUUGCGGACAGUGUCUGGUGGGUAGUUUGACUGGGGCGGUCUCCUCCUAAAGAGUAACGGAGGAGCACGAAGGUUGGCUAAUCCUGGUCGGACAUCAGGAGGUUAGUGCAAUGGCAUAAGCCAGCUUGACUGCGAGCGUGACGGCGCGAGCAGGUGCGAAAGCAGGUCAUAGUGAUCCGGUGGUUCUGAAUGGAAGGGCCAUCGCUCAACGGAUAAAAGGUACUCCGGGGAUAACAGGCUGAUACCGCCCAAGAGUUCAUAUCGACGGCGGUGUUUGGCACCUCGAUGUCGGCUCAUCACAUCCUGGGGCUGAAGUAGGUCCCAAGGGUAUGGCUGUUCGCCAUUUAAAGUGGUACGCGAGCUGGGUUUAGAACGUCGUGAGACAGUUCGGUCCCUAUCUGCCGUGGGCGCUGGAGAACUGAGGGGGGCUGCUCCUAGUACGAGAGGACCGGAGUGGACGCAUCACUGGUGUUCGGGUUGUCAUGCCAAUGGCACUGCCCGGUAGCUAAAUGCGGAAGAGAUAAGUGCUGAAAGCAUCUAAGCACGAAACUUGCCCCGAGAUGAGUUCUCCCUGACUCCUUGAGAGUCCUGAAGGAACGUUGAAGACGACGACGUUGAUAGGCCGGGUGUGUAAGCGCAGCGAUGCGUUGAGCUAACCGGUACUAAUGAACCGUGAGGCUUAACCUUACAACGCCGAAG